rnacentral:lncRNA from 1 species
CCUUUCUCCUUUCCACGAUUCUUUUCUUGGUUUAUGUUGCAUUCUCGCGUGAAAACGCUAAAUUUGUCUUCAAGAAUCCUAGUCAGCCGAAAUGAUUGUUCCCCGAUGUUUGAUUCUUGCGGGAAUCUGAUACCAGGAAAAUGUUUUUAGUUUAUUCGAUCUCUGGAGUUGAAAAGUUUUCUUCUAGCAGUUGUCAGGACCUUUUUCUAGCAGUAAGUCAUGUUGCUAACGCUGAUCAAUUUUUGUUGUCAAUAAAUAAUGCUAAUUAAUACUACUACUUUGUUUUCCUUUGUGAUGCCAUGCAACAUUGCGCAGGUUAGUUCAUGUGGCCAAGACUCCAAAUAAUGAGAAAGAUGUUCUUCUUCGGUUCGGGGUGUAUCCAUUUCUUUCAAACAAUAAUAUUUCGAGCAUAUAUAUGAAUGUGAAGUUCCCAGUUUUGUGGACUCAAAAUGCAAAUUAAGGUCACAUUGCGAAAGCACAAUAAAUUCAUGCAAGAAGCUCUUUUUCAGUUUUGGGUACGAUCAAUAUAAUGAAGACGUACGGUACCUCUCCUCUGCGAUCGAGUAGCAAAAUGGAAAAACAAAAGGAGAAUAAUUAAGCAUAUGAAUAAUCCAAGGAGGCGACACAUAAUUAAGUAGUAUAAACCACAUAAUUAAACAUGACUCAAUA